GACGAACGCUGGCGGCGUGCUUAACACAUGCAAGUCGAACGAUGAUCUCCCGCUUGCGGGGGUGCUUAGUGGCGAACGGGUGAGUAAUACGUGAGUAACCUGCCCUUGACUCUGGGAUAAGCCUGGGAAACCGGGUCUAAUACUGGAUACUACUUCCUGCCGCAUGGUGGGGGGUGGAAAGGGUUUUACUGGUUUUGGAUGGGCUCACGGCCUAUCAGCUUGUUGGUGGAGUAAUGGCUCACCAAGGCGACGACGGGUAGCCGGCCUGAGAGGGUGACCGGCGACACUGGGACUGAGACACGGCCCAGACUCCUACGGGAGGAAGCAGGGGGGAAUAUUGCACAAUGGGCGGGAGCCUGAUGCAGCGACGCCGCGUGAGGGAUGACGGCCUUCGGGUUGUAAAACUCUUUCAGCAGGGAAGAAGCCACAAGUGACGGUACCUGCAGAAGAAGCGCCGGCUAACUACGUG
rnacentral:rRNA from 1 species